AUUGAACGCUGGCGGCAGGCCUAACACAUGCAAGUCGAGCGGAUGAAGGGAGCUUGCUCCUGGAUUCAGCGGCGGACGGGUGAGUAAUGCCUAGGAAUCUGCCUGGUAGUGGGGGAUAACGUCCGGAAACGGGCGCUAAUACCGCAUACGUCCUGAGGGAGAAAGUGGGGGAUCUUCGGACCUCACGCUAUCAGAUGAGCCUAGGUCGGAUUAGCUAGUUGGUGGGGUAAAGGCCUACCAAGGCGACGAUCCGUAACUGGUCUGAGAGGAUGAUCAGUCACACUGGAACUGAGACACGGUCCAGACUCCUACGGGAGGCAGCAGUGGGGAAUAUUGGACAGUGGGCGAAAGCCUGAUCCAGCCAUGCCGCGUGUGUGAAGAAGGUCUUCGGAUUGUAAAGCACUUUAAGUUGGGAGGAAAGGCAGUAAGUUAAUACCUUGCUGUUUUGACGUUACCAACAGAAUAAGCACCGGCUAACUUCGUG
rnacentral:rRNA from 1 species